UUCUUAUCGAGAGAGGCGGAGGGAACUGGCCCGAAGAAGUCUCAGCAACCGGUACAAGGACGGCGGCAUGAUAACCUUUGUACCAAGGUGCUAAAUCCAGCAAGCAUUUUGCCGUAAGAUAUGCUUGGAAGAUAAGAA
rnacentral:ncRNA from 1 species